AUCUUUUGAGUAUGAAGUAGUACAGUUGCCUUCCAAGCAAAAAGAUUAAUAAAUUUUAAAAAAGAUACCA
rnacentral:tRNA from 1 species